rnacentral:misc_RNA from 1 species
GAAAUCACCGGCCUAGCCCGGUAUAAAAUUCUAUCCACCUUGUGUGCAAACAAUGGAAAAAGAGAGAAAAUUGGAUACAUUUGUAUCCAACUUCUCUAAAAUUUUUUAUAAACUCCAUCAAAUUUUGAAUGAAAACAAAUUUUUUUAAUAAAAAAAUAUUAUA